GGAAGCGUGCCCGAAAGUUAAGGAACUCCUCGAUGGGGAGAACCACAGGGGUUCAAAUCCCCUCGCUUUCCC
rnacentral:tRNA from 1 species